AGAGAAUCUGCCCUUACACAUCCCAAUAAAAUGGGAUAAUGGAAAGAAAACAUAGGCACUUAUUGGAUAUAGGCAGAGCACUUAGACUGCAUGCACAUCUACCCAAAAUUUUUUACUCUGAAUGCAUGGUACUGGCUGCAACCUACACUAUCAAAUAUCAAUACGUUGUUUAUCGAGAAAAUGAAAUGAAAGAUGCAUUUUCUAUUCAGAUGUUUCAUCAAGCACCAAAUUACACAUAUUGUGUAGCGUUUGCAUGCUUGUGUUUUGCUAAUAUAUAUAUAUAUAUAUGCGUUUGAUAAUAAAUUAUUUUUUUUAUAUCUUAUUAAAUUGAAUGUUUUAAUUUAAUAAAUCAUUGAAACGUCCCUUUUGCAAGUUUACUAGUAUGUGGUCUGCUUCUCUUUUUCUUCAAAUAAGAAAGCAAGAACUAUUCUUGGUCAUCUUCUAAUUCGAGCUUCAAUUUCAUUCGACAAGUCUCAUGAUGAGCUCAGGCACCAAUUGAUCAUUUCGUUACUAUAUUUUUCACGAACCAAUUGAUUUCUAUGCUUGUGACAAAUCCAUCAUACGACCUCAAAUUUUGGGGUUGUGAGCCAUCAAUUUGACCAGAUCACGCCAAGCUUUUUGAAACCAUGCAAUGAAACCCCGGAAGAGCAGUAUUAAUAUCGCCACAAUAACAACCCCUACGAUGAACAAAUUUAUUCCACCAGUCUGCACGGCGUACCAUGAUAUCCCAUAGCAAAGAAAUAGGGGUAUCACUAGUGGUAGAACGAUCAAAGGCCGCCUUGGCAAGAGAUUGUAGAUUAUUCCUAUUGAUAGAAUAAAUGCUGCUGUGUUCAAAACCGAGAAUAAAUACCACACUAAGGGUAACAGAUCGAACAUGACAGGUCUUCCCACGAAUGCUCCUGCGUUGAUAUAUCUGGAUUGGCUGUCAGUGUUAGGAAAAAGUAAAGUAGGAUCACCCUGCCAAACUCCUCCUGGAGGGCUGAGCACUGCUUGGUAUGUGGCAGUUGCUAUCAGUACAGCCACCACAAGUAUGGCAUUGCGAUUUUGAUCUGACAUUAUCAAUUUUUCGCGGUACCUGGAUAGUGCCCAUAUCUCAAGGCCUGUCCUCUUUUUGCUUAGAUUAUCUGCUACGGUAGUUGUAUGAGGAAUUGAAGAAGAUCUUAAAGCUCCAGCACGACAUAGUAUUUUCCUUAUUUUGCUCCUAAUCACCAUUUGUGUUUGGGAUUCAUAUACGACGUCCAAAGCUGUGUUACCAUUCAUAUUCUUGAUAUUUAAAUCAACUUUCCGUCCAAUUAACAACUUCACCACCUCAAUUUGAUUUUUGGAUGCUGCGAUGUGUAAUACACUAUUUCCUUCAUCAUCAGUGCAAUUUAGGAUUGCAUUUUGGCCAGUAAGUUGAAGCCAUCCGCAUAGGACACCAAAAGCUUCCCACAUAUCCUUUUUAGCAGCAACAUGCAGGGCAGUUUCCUUGUAAAUUGUCAAGUCUUGAAUGGAUUUAGGAUAAGCUCUUAAGAAUUCUGUCAGAAGAUCAAGAUUUCCCCUUUCCGCUACAUAAUGCAGAGGUGUUUGACCUGCUCUUCCUUUGACGCUUAACAGGUUUCUAUCCGCAUCUAGGAGGCCACGCACUGUUUGGAACUGCUCAUUUUGCAGAGCCAGGUGCAAAGGGCUAAACCCAUCUUGGUUUGGCUUCUUAGCCAGCGAUGGUUUUAACCACAUGAUCUCUAAGGCAAAUUGGGUGUGCCCUUUGGAUGCAGAUAUGUGCAGUGGAGUAUCGAUGAAUGAGGCAUUCUCGAUGCGCUCUAGAAGGUAUGGGUCCUCCCUUAUAAUUGAAAACAGGGCAAUAAUAUCUCCCUGUUCAGCUGCCAUGUUCAACCUCUGGUCGGUUCUUAAGAAUGCAAUGGUGUUAUCGGCAGAAAGCGAAGAAGCUCUAGCUGCUCCAACGUCACGUAGCAAAUGACUAAUCUCAUGUAAACGAUUUAUUUCGGCAAUGUCCAAAGCUGUCUGCUCGUAAACAUUCUUGGCAUUUACAUCAAUUCCGCGUCCAAUUAACAAUCCCACAAGGUGGGGUUGAUUUCUGGAUGUUGCAAUGUGUAACACAGUGUUGCCUUCCACAUCCUUCCGGUUUAGGAUCCUCUUCUCCCAGUAUCGCGCCUCUUCAUGGCAAUCCCAGUGAAGCCUAUCAACAAGGAACUCAAAAGCUUCACGCUUAUUGGUUUUCAGAGCUAUAUGCAGAGCAGUCUCGUUUCGAAUAUUAACAUCCCCUAUGGACUUGGGGCAAACUGACAAAAACCUUGCCAACAGAUGACGAUUUCCAUUUUCAGCUGCAUAAUGCAAAGGAGUUAACCCUUCCCUCCCUUUGAUUUGGACAAGGUCACUGUCCAUGUCUACCAGCCCAAGCACCAACUGAAUAUGCUUUUUUUGAAAUGCAAUUUGUAUGGGGGUGAACCCUUUUUGGUUAGACUUCCGAGCAAAUGAUGGCCUUAAUCUCAUGAUCUCCAUGGCAUAUUGGAUAUGCCCUGCAAAUGCAGCUCCAUGUAAUGGAGUAUCAGCAAAUGGGAUCUCCUCAAUUUGAUCCAAAAUAUUUGGAUUCUCUCCAAUAGCUGCAUAUAGACCAUCUAUGUUUCCUUCUUCAGUAGCAUUCAGGAGGCGGAUCAUUCUAGUAACUGGGAGAGGAAAUGAAGAGAUUACUUCAGCUUAAGCUAUGAAAGGACGGAAGAGGAUAGACAAACUUUUCGUAAUAGUGAUAAAUUAUAUUAUGAGACUCUGAUUUCCUGAUGAAUUGAUAAGAAUAUAUACAGGAAUUCAACCAAGGGUUUUAAUUUAAUGAUAUUAAAG
rnacentral:misc_RNA from 1 species